GAUGAACGCUGGCGGCGUGCCUAAUACAUGCAAGUCGAGCGAACAGACGAGGAGCUUGCUCCUCUGACGUUAGCGGCGGACGGGUGAUGAACACGGGGAUAACCUAACUAUAAGAAUGGGAUAACUUCGGGAAACCGGAUCUAAGACCGGAUAAUAUAUUGAACCGCAUUGGGCAAUAGUGAAAUACGGUUGUUCUGUCGGUUAUAGAUGGAUCCGCGCCGCAUUAACUAGUUGCUAAGGUGACGGCUUACCAAGGCGACGAUGCGUAGACGCCCUGAGAGGGUCAUCCGCCACCCUGGCUCUGAGACAGGGUCGAGACUCCUACGGGAGGCCGCAGCACGGACUCUUCCGCAAUGCGGGAGAGCCUGACGGAGCACCGCCGCGUGAGUGCUGAAGGUCUACGGACCGUAAAACUCUGUUAUUAGUGGAGAACAAAUGUGUAAGUACCUAUGCACGUCUUGACGGUACCUAAUCAGAAAGCCACGGCUAACUACGUG
rnacentral:rRNA from 1 species